UGUAUUACCUUUUAUGUUUACACUUUUAUUGAUUAUGUUACAAAUCUGAAUUAUUAUAAAGAACAUACUUAUGGCUUCCUUAAAACUUUGUUCAUAUUGCCAAGAAGAUAAUAUAAUAAAUGAAGCUGUCACGUGGUGUACAGAAUGUGAACUAUUCCUUUGUUCAGUUUGUGCACAGCAUCAUAAAACAUCCGAACUAACAAAACACCAUAGAGUGAUUUCGGUCACGGACUUCAAUAAACUUCCGGAUUUUGUUGUUGAAACAUGUAACCGAUGUAAACAACACGACAACAACUUCAAAUUGUUCUGCACUUCUCAUUGUUGUCCAUGCUGUAGAGUCUGUUCUACUGAACAACACCAGGAAUGUCGGGAAUUAAAAAACCUGAAAGAUAUCUUGAGCAACGACUUACAAUCUUCCGCUUUUAUGUUUCAUGUGAAGCAUGAUUUGCAGGAAUUGAAGAUAGAUAUUGAAGAAUCAUUGGACUAUUUAUCUCUUACUUUAGUUCAAAUUCAACAGGUAGAAAAGAAAUAUGUUGACAAAAUUCAACAGCUGCGAAAAUCUCUAAAUGAUCAUUUAGACAAAAUAAAAAUAGAUUUAGAAAAAAACUGAGGAAUAAACACACCUUAGUCUCAUUACUAGUGAAUACAGUCAAAACAAAGAAAACACAUAUUGACCAAUUACAAGAAGAUAUUUCUGUGAUGUCAAAAUAUGCUACUGAUCUACAAAUUUAUGUCGGACUUCAAGAAAUCAACAAAAUGACAACUCAUGAUAAACAGUUACUUCAAAAAUGGGAGGUUGAAAUAAAUAAAAUUGAUUUAAAUAUGAUAGAUGUGAACAUUUUUUCACUUUUACAAUCUGUUGUUACCGCAGUGAAGAAUUUCGAUCAGGUGUCGUUCGUCCCUUUGCCUCCUCCGUUAAAGCUGAAGUCUCUGCAAUAUAUCCACGGACAAGUCCAGGUGCCAAAAGCAACUUUGUCCGCAUCGGAACUAUUAACACCAAAAUUAAUGCGAAAAAUUUGUAUUCCGAAAGCAAAAAGUGGCUUAUUUAUAACAGGAUGUCAGAUACUACCGAACGGUGACCUGUUAUUUGUAGAUCAAGAUAAUAAAUGUUUAAUGUUAUUUGACAGUAAUGGGCUUUAUGUCAGAGAUGUAAUGGUAUUUUUCCCUUACUGUCCACGUGAUCUUUGUUAUGUUAAAAAUGAGACGGUCUCCGUUACAUUAUAUGAUGAAGGAAUUGCGUUAAUUGAUGUGACAAAAAGUAAGAUGAUAAACUGAUCAAAGUGAAAGAGGAUUGUUACGGCAUCGAUAGUGAUGGGAAAAAGUUGGUGACAAGCCUUGGUGAUCAAAUCAUGAUCAUGGAUUUACAGACUGAAGUUAAAAACCAGAUCAGUUUAGAUGGUUGGUUUUAUGAUAUUACACUGUCUAACAAUCAACUAUAUCUCGCAAACUUCAAUACAAGUAAAGUGUCAUGCUACAAUAUUCAAGGUGAUUUGUUGUGGACAAGCCAAGUAGCAAAUAUUCCAUAUCCAGGAGGAAUUGCAUGCAAUUCAAAAGGAUUAAUUUUUAUUGCAUGCCAUGUAAACAAUACAAUAAUGGCCUUGUCAAAAGAUGGUAUGAAGAGUAGAGUGAUUCUGACCGAAAAAGAUGGACUAAAAGGUCCUUUUUCAAUGCAAUUUGACAAAAAGACCUCAACCCUUCUUGUGACCAAUCUUUGGGUUUCUAUAUCAAUUUUAGGUAGUAAGUUAUACUUGCAACAAUGUCAUUUCAUAAUUAUGUAGUUGUUUUUAUUCAUGUGUAUAUUUAGUACUGAAAUAUUGCUUUAAACAAAAAUAACAAAACAACUAAAACAAACAAUGCUAUUCUGAAAUCAGGGUUUUAGAUUAAAAAUUUUACUAUCAAUAAUCUUUAAAGGAAUGAUUCAAGACAUGAUAUCAACGGAAUUAACAGCAUACAAUUGCAAUUGCGUAAUGCUUGAAAAUAUCACAUCUUCUUAUCUUUAUGCAUGUUAAAAAAACGAAUUUUCAUAAUAAACGAGAAGUGCGACAACAUCGGACUUCUCAAUAGUGACAUAUAUAGUUCGUAACAAUGUUCGAAGUUUCCUAUUAUUUUUUGGUAAAAUAUAGCAUGAUUUUGUGCAGCUUAACAUGUUAAUUUAGAGAUGGAAAUUUUACAUUUGUGAUUAUGUGGAUUGAUUUACAUUAACAGAUUAUAAAAAUGUCAAUGGAAUUCGAUGUAUAGUCUUGGGGAAUAUAAUGUUAAUCUUACAAUUAUUCAGACAUAAUUAAUAUCAAAACAGUCUGCAUGUCACUGAUCUCAAGUCUUUUUAUGUAUCAGUAAAAACAAGAAAACAUGAUUCUUUAUUCUCUAUUCAAAUUCAUAAACAAUACACUUAUAAAUUUUAAGUGUCAAAAUAUUUGUAUCUAUAAAUGAACAAGAUUUGCAAUGCAUUGGUUCAUUGUAUCCUUUCUUAAACUUUAUUUCAUAACACUAGGAUGAUCAAAGGUUAAACUAUUCUAAGUUUAAAUUUCAAAUAUUAUUGAUUGAUAAUUAUGCUUUAAGGAAUUCUAAUACAAUCAAGCGUUUACUUCAAUGUACUAAAAAACAUAUCUUAGACCAUUUUCUUUUUUUAAUUUAAAGGUCUUAAUGUAUUUUCAAGCAUUGAACGUCAAUAGUUUCAGCUGGAAAAGACAGUAACAUUUUUCAGAACAUCUGGUGAACAUAAGGUAGCUUUGAGACAACAACAGAUCUGAAAACGACAUUUGAUAGAACUCUUAAUUCAUAUAUAUAUACAGUCUAUUUUAAUCUGUUAAAUAAACUGAAGAAUUCAU